GCGCCUGUAGCUCAGUGGAUAGAGCGUCUGCCUCCGGAGCAGAAGGUCGGGGGUUCGAGUCCCUUCAGGCGCA
rfam:Isoptericola dokdonensis DS-3, complete genome.